rnacentral:lncRNA from 1 species
AUUUUCUGAAAUGCAGCAGAGGUGAGGAUCUGAGCUGCAGAGCAAACGCUGCAGGUGAAACCUCUCCAGAAAAACCCUCCCCAGUGCCGAGGUGAGGGAGUGAGGAGCCAGAAAAAGAGGAUUUGGAGACAAUGUGACUCCAGCAGGCCACGAGGACAAUGAGAAGUUCAGAAAUAGCACUAUUGACUGGUGGAAAAACAACAUACAUAUAAUUUUCAGUUUUCAUUUCAGAAAAAAAAAAUAGAAUAAUUCAAAGAGGAGCCUGGAGAAAAGCAAGCAGACCCACCCAAAAGGGGCAGCUUUCCCAGGCAGAGAAGUCCCAAAAGUGAAUUUCAGAUCCGAGUGCUGCCAUCGCUGCCACAGCUGGAGCCACCUCUGGAAAUGACUGCGUGUUGACAAAGGCUUUUUUUGGCAAGAAACCAUCAUCUGAGCCUCGGGAGCAGAGAGGAACAAAAUUUCACUACAUGUAAAUAACAGCCUAAAAAUAGAAGCGCAGAUUGUUUUUCUCAUUAAGUUCCUUCUCCAUCCUCCAGUAUAUUCUGCACUGAAAAGGGAGUGACUAUCAAAAAGCCGUGGAAAAAAAAAGUGAGUGACUAUCAAAAACUGGAAAAAAAAAAAACAAACCAAAACUGAAGAGCCUGGGUGAGGUUUGGCUGUAAAAAACACUGG